UAGAAGAGUAGUUCUCUAUCCACAGAAUAGAUACAGCAUGGGCAGCAGCAUUGCAAGCUUCCCCGGGUUGCUAAUGUACAUCAGUCCUGAGCUGGAAGGGGCCAUCUCUUGUGUGAGACGAUAGUUCAUUAUCUCUUUGUGCUUGA
rnacentral:sRNA from 1 species